UNUUUUAUUUAGGAAAAAAAGCUUGAUAGGAAAUGAUUAAGCCUUGAUUGUACUAAAUGANUAAGUGACAGCUAACUAUGUGCCAGCAGCUGCGGUAAAACAUAGGUCACGAGCAUUAUCCGGAUUUAUUGGGCGUAAAGGAAGUGUAGGCGGACAAAUUGAUCUAUUGUUAAAGGCACUUGCUCAACGAGUUGUUUGUGAUAGAUAUCGUUUGUCUAGAAUUAGUUAGGAGAUACUGGAAUUCAAUGUGUAGCGGUGGAAUGCGUAGAUAUAUNGAGGAACACCAGAGGCUAAGGCGAGUAUCUAGGACAUAAUUGACGCUGAGGCUUGAAAGCGUGGGGAGCAAAUGGGAUUAGAUACCCCAGUAGUCCACGCCGUAAACGAUGGGUAUUAGGUAUUUGGUCUAGGACUGAGUGCUGUAGCUAACGCGUUAAAUACCCCGCCUGGGUAGUAUAUAUGCAAAUAUGAAACUCAAAGAAAUUGACGGGGACCUGAACAAGUGGGUGGAG
rnacentral:rRNA from 1 species